GCUAGCGUAGCUUAACUA
rnacentral:tRNA from 1 species